UGGAAGUGCUGCAGGACCUGAUGAGAAAAACUUUCCCUGUUCAAAAUGAGAAAAUGCACUCUCCAUAUGAGUCAAGAGAGAGAGAACUAUGCCAAGGAAUGUAAAUGAAGUCGGUGCAGAUUUACAGUUUAGAGUUUGAGAUCCCAGAUGUUCCUUUAUCAGCACUGGAGGGGAAUCAAAAUUAUAAGUAGGAGAAUAUCACAGGACCUGCUGCAGCUCCCCGUCUGGAUGCCCCACAACCACUCAUGUCAAUUACCUGAAGCUCUUCCUAACCAUGUACUUCCCGAUGACUUCCUGUGAUACACAUUACCAGAAGUAAGCCAGACCUCAUCAGU